rnacentral:rRNA from 1 species
UACAGAGGGGGCAAGCGUUAUUCGGAAUUAUUGGGCGUAAAGGGCGCGUAGGCGGCUUGGCAAGUGGAAGGUGAAAUCCCUCGGCUUAACCGAGGAACUGCCCUCCAAACUGCUUGGCUUGAGACCGGGAGAGGUGAGUGGAAUUCCCAGUGUAGCGGUGAAAUGCGUAGAUAUUGGGAGGAACACCAGUGGCGAAGGCGGCUCACUGGCCCGGUACUGACGCUGAGGUGCGAAAGCGUGGGGAGCAACAGG